rnacentral:rRNA from 1 species
GAUGAACGCUGGCGGCGUGCCUAAUACAUGCGAGUCGAGCGAACGGACGAGAAGCUUGCUUCUCUGAUGUUAGCGGCGGACGGGUGAGUAACACGUGGAUAACCUACCUAUAAGACUGGGAUAACUUCGGGAAACCGGAGCUAAUACCGGAUAAUAUUUUGAACCGCAUGGUUCAAAAGUGAAAGACGGUCUUGCUGUCACUUAUAGAUGGAUCCGCGCUGCAUUAGCUAGUUGGUGAGGUAACGGCUUACCAAGGCAACGAUGCAUAGCCGACCUGAGAGGGUGAUCGGCCACACUGGAACUGAGACACGGUCCAGACUCCUACGGGAGGCAGCAGUAGGGAAUCUUCCGCAAUGGGCGAAAGCCUGACGGAGCAACGCCGCGUGAGUGAUGAAGGUCUUCGGAUCGUAAAACUCUGUUAUUAGGGAAGAACAUAUGUGUAAGUAACUGUGCACAUCUUGACGGUACCUAAUCAGAAAGCCACGGCUAACUACGUG